GCAAUUUCUCCGGGUCCGUCCGUGACUGAAAGCGCUCGCAAUCACCAAGAGAAGUCGCCAUGUAACUUCUUGGGAGGCCGAUGUCAUGGCUUGACGGUUUUCAACAGAACUGUCAUCUUUCUUGGAAGCCGUCUGACACUAUUCUACGAACCGUGCCUCGUAUCAGUCCCAACACAUUGAAUUGGCGUCAACAGGGGAAGGAUAGUUCUUGGUAUGUGAGGCUACACAUCGUUGGAUGGCAAGAUAAUUGAAUUAGAAAGGAUCUUGAAGGAAGUGGUCAUGGCCUAAUCGAUACACCAUCCUGGAUUUUCUGGACACACUAAGGAGAAUUACAAGAACUUGUCGAAAAUGUCAAGACUCCUGACCGAGAAUACAACCGAGGACCUCCCGAAUUCGAAUCUGCGGCGUUACCACUACACCAACUCGUUCAGUAUAGUACACUCCUAUUGGCUAAGUUAAGCAUUCUGACACAUUUAUUGUAAUUAUUAGC